rnacentral:lncRNA from 1 species
GCAAAGAAACUAGUAGUACCUGAAUUCAAAAGCACACAAAUACAAGGGCAAAGAUAAUCAUCAGUUCAAGUGUGCAUACCUCAUAAAAGAUACUUUUUACCUAGUUUACAACUAGAGUAUUUCGUUGCCAUGUCGAACAAGAGUGAAAAAGAUAACAUGCUAACACAAACAUCAUUCCUGAUAAAAUCCAGACAACACAAAGUAGAGUGAACACUUAUAACCUUUAGACGAAAACGGCACAAGUAGGAGUUGCGCCAAGGUUUUGCUAAUCACAUAUUAAAACCUUCAGACAGAAAACGGCCUCUAACUGGGAGCUGUCUCGCCAAGGUUUGCUUCUGCGCUUAAUUCUUGCCUCGGCCACGCCUAGGAGGCACAACAGUCCACCCAUCAGCAUCAGGGGUAGGCUUGGAAGGUUUUGGCUGAUCUAUCACCAUAUCAUCUGAUCUAGCUGCUUCAUCUUUCCCCAUUGAUGGCUCAUCACCAUCAUCAGAGCUAUCAUCAUCAUCAUCCUCCGGUACCAUCUUCUCAUGAGAAGAAAGAAAGUUAGCUACAGGGGCUUUCUGAGUCGAAGAUACACGUAAAAAUAAAAACAAUCAAUUUAAACUUUAAAGUUAUGCAGUGCAACGUUGUAAUGACUGAGGACCACUUCAGAUAACUGUAGACACAUGGUUACUCAACAUAUAAGUAUGUCUCCAAAUAACAAUGACCGGUUCUGAUUAGAAAACGAGGUUAAGAUCCACAUGCUAAGAGCAAAAACACAAUCAAUCUAGCAUUUUGCAAUUAACCCCGACAAAGCAACAAUCAAGCAUAUAAAAAGGACCACAUCUUGAAGAAUUAAUAAUUGAACAAAUUAUCAAAC